AUUGAACGCUGGCGGCAGGCCUAACACAUGCAAGUCGAGCGGAGCGGCGGACGGGUGAGGAAUGCCUAGGAAGCGGCCUGGUAGAGGGGGAUAACGCCCGGAAAGGGGAGCUAAUAAAGACUACUAGCAGAUGGGCCAAGGUCGGAUUAGCUAGUUGGUGGGGUAAAGGCAGACCAAGGCGAAGAGCCGUAACUGGUCUGAGAGGAUGAUCCGUCACACUGGAACUGAGACACGGUCCGGACUCCUACGGGAGGCAGCAGUGGGGAAUAUUGGACAAUGGGCGAAAGCCUUAUCCAGCCAUGCCGCGUGUGUGAAGAAGGUCUUCGGAUUGUAAAGCACUUUCAGUUGGGAGGCGUUACCAACAGAAUAAGCACCGGCUAACUUCGUGCCAGCAGCCGCGGUAAUUC
rnacentral:rRNA from 1 species